rnacentral:rRNA from 1 species
GAUGAACGCUGGCGGCGUGCCUAAUACAUGCAAGUCGAACGCUUUGUGGUUCAACUGAUUUGAAGAGCUUGCUCAGAUAUGACGAUGGACAUUGCAAAGAGUGGCGAACGGGUGAGUAACACGUGGGAAACCUACCUCUUAGCAGGGGAUAACAUUUGGAAACAGAUGCUAAUACCGUAUAACAAUGACAACCGCAUGGUUGUUAUUUAAAAGAUGGUUCUGCUAUCACUAAGAGAUGGUCCCGCGGUGCAUUAGCUAGUUGGUAAGGUAAUGGCUUACCAAGGCGAUGAUGCAUAGCCGAGUUGAGAGACUGAUCGGCCACAAUGGGACUGAGACACGGCCCAUACUCCUACGGGAGGCAGCAGUAGGGAAUCUUCCACAAUGGGCGAAAGCCUGAUGGAGCAACGCCGCGUGUGUGAUGAAGGGUUUCGGCUCGUAAAACACUGUUGUAAGAGAAGAAUGACAUUGAGAGUAACUGUUCAAUGUGUGACGGUAUCUUACCAGAAAGGAACGGCUAAAUACGUGCCAGCAGCCGCGGUAAUACGUAUGUUCCAAGCGUUAUCCGGAUUUAUUGGGCGUAAAGCGAGCGCAGACGGUUAUUUAAGUCUGAAGUGAAAGCCCUCAGCUCAACUGAGGAAUUGCUUUGGAAACUGGAUGACUUGAGUGCAGUAGAGGAAAGUGGAACUCCAUGUGUAGCGGUGAAAUGCGUAGAUAUAUGGAAGAACACCAGUGGCGAAGGCGGCUUUCUGGACUGUAACUGACGUUGAGGCUCGAAAGUGUGGGUAGCAAACAGGAUUAGAUACCCUGGUAGUCCACACCGUAAACGAUGAGUGCUAGGUGUUUGAGGGUUUCCGCCCUUAAGUGCCGCAGCUAACGCAUUAAGCACUCCGCCUGGGGAGUACGACCGCAAGGUUGAAACUCAAAGGAAUUGACGGGGACCCGCACAAGCGGUGGAGCAUGUGGUUUAAUUCGAAGCAACGCGAAGAACCUUACCAGGUCUUGACAUCCCUUGACAACUCCAGAGAUGGAGCGUUCCCUUCGGGGACAAGGUGACAGGUGGUGCAUGGUUGUCGUCAGCUCGUGUCGUGAGAUGUUGGGUUAAGUCCCGCAACGAGCGCAACUCUUAUUACUAGUUGCCAGCAUUUAGUUGGGCACUCUAGUGAGACUGCCGGUGACAAACCGGGGGAAGGUGGGGAUGACGUCAAAUCAUCAUGCCCCUUAUGACCUGGGCUACACACGUGCUACAAUGGCGUAUACAACGAGUUGCCAACCCGCGAGGGUGAGCUAAUCUCUUAAAGUACGUCUCAGUUCGGAUUGUAGGCUGCAACUCGCCUACAUGAAGUCGGAAUCGCUAGUAAUCGCGGAUCAGCACGCCGCGGUGAAUACGUUCCCGGGUCUUGUACACACCGCCCGUCACACCAUGAGAGUUUGUAACACCCAAAGCCGGUGGGGUAACCUUCGGGAGCCAGCCGUCUAAGGUGGGACAGAUGAUUAGGGUGAAGUCGUAACAAGGUAG